UUUGACGUUGAGCUGACUGAUGUGGGUAUACUUGCAAGGCGCUCCCAGCUCCUACUGAAUCUUUGUUUUUGUUUGCUUUUUGGUCUGCUGAUGGUUUCAGCAUCAGAGAAAUGCUCUGCGGUGGGUGCUACUUGGUGGGAGGAAGCCAUGGGAGGUAAGAAUUCAGGUGAGGUCAUCUGCAGGAAGAAAUACCAAGAUUAUAAGUUGUGCUUUUGUUUCUUGGCUUCUUAGUGAGCUUAGGGCAGCCUGAAAUGGAUAGAGGUGCUGCCCAAUCGGCCGAGGCCGAUUCCAGCGCUGCCUCUAACUUCUGUGUGUCCUCAAGCAAGUCCCUGCCUCUCUGGUCCCUGCCUACUUUUCCAGCAUCGGCACCUGCCAUUCCCCAUCUUGCUUCUGCUGCCUUAGCUUCACAGAAUGCAAGUCAUUUAUUUGGUAAGUGAUCCCAGGAAAUGCUGAAAAGGGAGAGGCGACAGGAGACAAGGAUGGGGAGAAAGGCAAUAAAGGGUGAGCCAUGAAGUACAAUCCCUCAUGGGCACCUGGAGCUUCACCCUUCGAGGGGACCGUGGGAGCCAGUGUGGAACACACACUUCGGUUCUCCUACCCGAGGGCGGAGUGACCUGCUCUGACUUGAGGAAAAGCCCCUAAACAGUUGCGAGUUUGGGCAGUUGAAGACUGGCUGGUGGGCACAGAUGCUGUCCAGUGCCCAGAUCAUAUGGGCGUCUCAUGGACACGAUUCUAAUAUAAUGAGAAAAAUAAACCUUGAAUUGUUUAAGCCCCUAGAACAGGGUUUUCCAAGGUGGGCCCUUGUCUAAGGGCCCCUCGCCUUCUUGUAGUCCUGAGUACAUAUUGUUCUUUUUCUUGCCUUAGAUAGGGACCCCCCCCCCAACUACUGCCUCUGCCUGGUGUGUUUUUCCUCUCCCUCCUCAUCCAUGGCCUCUCUUCAUUCUUUCAAUGCAGUGCAGUUUCCAAGAAGGGUGGUGUCUAACCAACCCAGCCAAAGUGGUUUCUUUGAACCCAGGUCUGCCCAAAUCCAGACAAAGCACAAGCCCAAGUUGUUCUUUUUGUUUUUUUUUUUUAAGACAGGAUUCAACGAGGAGGAAAUCCCCCUGUCAAAAGCACUUCCUCUCAAUAUCCAUGCUGAGUGGUAACAAAUAGUUUGCUCUCUGGCUUCAUAUAGUUCUGGCCACUGUGUGUCCAUUAAAGAGGGUUCCAGUUAGCAGCUGCUGCAUGCAAAAGCCACUCCAGAAACUUUCUGGCUUCAAACCACAAUGAUUUUGUCAUCUCUCAUAAUUCCUUUGGGUCAGGAAUUUGGGAAGGGGCUCAGCUGGUCAAUUCUGAUUUGGGGUCUUUCACGUGGUUGCAGCCAAAUGGUGGCCGAAGGGGCUGGAGCCCCUGAGAGCCUGUCAGGCAUCUCUCUUCGCGUAGCCUCGGGGCCGUUCCAUGUGGUCUCUGAGUGUGGGCAAAUUUGGGCUUCUUUCCUGGCUCGGCAGUCUCAGGGCAGUUGAUUGCCGACACGGAGGCACAGGUGGAGACUGAAGGUCUCAAGAGUGAGUGUCACAGUGGGCAAAGGGGUAUCUGAGUCACCACCAGGAAGUAGCCUCAGAAGUCAGGUAACAUCGCUUCUGCAUACUCUCUUGAUUGAAAUAGUCACAAAAAUGUACCUAUGCUCAAGAGAAGGGACAUUAGACCCUACCUCUUUUGGAAUAGUGAGAAGAUUCUAGAAGAGCAUGUGAAAUGGGAGAUGUUGUCGUAAUCAUCUUUGGAAUAUGCAGUCUGCCUCCAGAAGGUGCAUGUAUGGGGUAGGUGUGAAGGACGAGGACGGAAAGCCUGGGUCCAAUGGGUGGUGGUGGAGUAUCUUCUCUUGGAAAAACAAAUCAACUGUGUUAACAUCAACAAGGAAGUCUUCUCUGGAAUGAAGCUGUAUCUGUAGACAUGUCUCCCCCUGGCAAGCAGGCCUUCGCGGUAGCAAAUGAACCUCACGUCAAACCCACCCCAAUAUCUCUGGGAUUUGGUUUGCGAGCCCUGGCACCACACUUUAUGUUUACAAAAGUCAAGAGGAAAGAGAGAUCGAAGAGGGGAGGCAUGAGGAGGAAACAGACAAGCACACACAGAGGCCAUUUUACUCCCAUGAAGAGGAGCAGAUGUUUCCAUAAUGCAAAAUCCAAAAGCUGGAGCUUUCUCUUCUGUCUGCAUUUUGAAUCUUAGGAAAGCAUCCAGUUAACAUCAUGGACCUCCAGCUCGCUUUCUCCCAAGGAGCCAUUUCUUCGGGAGGAGGAGUUCGUCUGCCUCCGUCCAAAGUCUACCAAUCUCUCAAGGAUCAACUCUUCUAGGAAGUCUUCCCUGACUACCUUUCCCAGCUUGGAGCCUGCAAACAUUCAACUACCACUUAUUUAAUGUGCCAUCAUGCCUUGCCAGUUAAGUUGGCAUACCUUAACAUCUUAUGACUGAUUUCUUUUAGAUCAAAUCUACCUGGCUUCUCGUACUACCUGGAAACCAUGUCUGUGAAGUGGUCUUCUUCCCCCUGCUCCUAGUAGAGUGAACUAGGGGAUUGGCACUUGGGCAAAGCAGGGCACUCUUGCUCUUGGGCCCUAUAACAUAGACCUGUGUCUUUGUCUUUAUAAUCUGUUCCUAGGGUGACCAUACGUCCUGUUGCCUGGCUAGUCUUGGCUUAUCCUAUUAUCCAAACAUAAUUAUUUCUAGUGUCCCAUUUACUCUUCAAGUACACUGGUUUUGAUGAUAUGUUCACCUCAAUUCACACCAACAGGGGCUGCCUUCUGUUACUUCCUACUGCACAUUUAUAAUAUCUAUAGCUUAUAAGGCAAUUUCACCUACAUCAGCUCAUUCUCUUGCCAAAUUGAUUAUUUUCCCCUCAGAACCGCUCCUUCCUCUGUGUCCCACCACUAGCUCCCUGUCCUCUUUAGCCAGAGGUCUGGGAGGUAGCCUAGGCUCUUCCUUCUCCUUGUCCUCAUGAAUCCAUUCAUUCAUUCCUUAAAAAAUAGGUUUGAGUUCCCACCAAGGACCAGGUACUGUGCUAGUUGCUGGGUUUAUAAGGUGGUGAAUGAAACAGAGUAUUUUCUUCUUUGAAUUUAUAUGCUGGCUCGAGAAACACCCACAAAUAUAUAGUUUCGAGUGGUGAUAAGCAUGGCAAAGGGAAAGAACAGGUUCUCUGAGAGAGAAGAAUGGGGGAGGGUGUAGGGCAGGCCUACUUUAUAUUGGGGGCCCAAGAAGGCCUCUCUGAGGAAGGAACACUUGAGCUCAGAUCUCAAGGAUCGGAAGGAGCCAGUUAAGGAAUGGAUUUCAGCAGCAGGGGUUGACACACUUUCAUUUUCACAUUUUAUGUUGAUCACUCUGAAAGCCAUGUGGAAAAUGAAUUGUAAGGGGCAGGAAUGGAAGCAGGGACACCAACUAAGAGGUAAUUACAGUUGUCCAAGUAAGAGUUGAUGGUGGCUUACGCUAGGAGUAGUGGAGAUAAAUACAAGUGGACAGAUUGGGGGUGUAUUUUGGAGGUGAAAAUCAAUAGGAUUUGGCAAUGCAUUGGAUGUGGUAGAGGAGAGGGGCUGGUGGUGAGGGAGAGGAAGGUGUCUACCAGGUGCAUGACUUCAGCAAGACAGUGGAGAGUGGAACCAUUCAUUGAGAUGGGAAGAGGAGAUGAGGAGAAUAUUUGAUGGCGGUGGUAGUGGGUAGAUCAAGACAUCAGUUUGGGAUGCAUUUAGAUGGAGGUGCCUGUGAAAAUUCCAAAUGCCUAUUUCAGCUUCGUGGGCAUGUGCAGAGCUCUUUGCUUAGAAGGAUGAGCCCUCCUGAGCUUGGUUUAAUGCUCUCCUAUUGCCAUUUUGAAAUUCCCAAUAAUUAAGUGAAGUUGGAUUGGACAAUGAAGCACGUGUGUGAGCAGAAGAAAUACACCCAAUUUGCAUGUCUGCCAUUCCUUGUCCCCCCAUUCACAUAUAGUAGUUGUCAUGUCCCCAGCACAAAUUUUAGUAGAUUCAUGACGAAUAGGAGCUCAGUGAGACUCAAAGUGAGCACAACGUAGGCGCACAAGGUGAGCACAUCUAUGAUUGGCCAAAUGAGGGCACCGACAACCCCCAGAAGCCAUACCUUCCACUUAAAACAACUUUCUUAGAACACAGAAGGAAAACAAUGAUAUUCUAAGAACCACAAAUAACCAAGGAACCCUAUCAGAUCCUUACUUAAGCUGAAAAUGAAGGUACAGAAGGAAAGGAAAACACAGGCAACCUGUCAUUCCUUUUCCUUCUGUUCCUUCCUUACUCAUAAUUCUGGGUAGAGGAUGGGUGAUUUAAGAAAUGAAAGUAACUGAGUUAGUUUGGUGCAGCAUUUCUACUGUUGUGGUAAAAACGAGGUACGUAUGCAAGUAAGAGGCAUGAAACUAGAAUUGUGCACCUUUGAUGGUUAUGCAUAGGAGUUAAAUGCUCUUCUAUUUGCAUUUAAAAUUGACAUUGGGGGCACUUGGGUGACUCAGUAGGUUAAGCAUCCAACUUCGGCUCAGGUCAUGUCUCAUGGUUCAUGAGUUCUAGUCCCACAUUGGACUCUGUGCUGCAGCUCAGAGCCUGGAGCCUGCUUCAGAUUCAGUGUCUCCCUGUCUCUCUGUCCCUCCCCCUCUCGUACUCUGUCUCUUUCUCAAAAAUAAAUAAAACAUUUUUGAAAAUUAAAAAAAACAACAAAACCUGGCAUUGCACCUGGGUGGCUCAGUUGGUUAAGUGAUCAACUCUUGAUUUCACCUCAGGUCAUGAUCUUAUGGUUCGGGAGUUUCAGUCCUGCAUUGGCUCUGGGCUGACAGCAUUGAGCCUACGUAGGCUUCUGUCUCCUUCUCUCUCUGCCCCUCCCCCCCCUUGCUCUCUGUAUCUUUCUCAAAAAUAGAUAAAUGAAUAAAAACUUUAAAAUCGACAGUGAGCAAUAUAAAGGUGAAUGGUACAUUCAUGCUACUAAUUUAUAAUUUUUAAUUUUUCUUUACUUAGAAUGACAAUAAAUAGAAAAUAAAAAGUACCAUGAAAAAUCCUAACAGAGACUGUAGAAGAAGAGAAAAAAACAACAACUAGUACCUUUGAUGGCAAUUUUCUUCCUGCAUUUUAAGUAGAAUCCCACAUUUUUGUUUUACACUGAGACCUGCAAAUUAUGAAGCUGGCCUUGGGUAGGAAAUAGGCCAAGAGCCCCACAUCACCGAAUUUUGUUGGUACUACCAAUUAAAUAUCUUUUCUCUCUGUCCCCUGAGUCUUCUUAGCUUGGCUAUCUCUUCAUUCUCUUGCCUUCCUUCAUAUCCCUCAAUUCCAUCAUUCUGUGAGAUACCCCUCCCCCCUAAUCUUUAAGGAGGGUUGGCAUGUCUAGGAAACAGCAGAGCAGAGAUACUAUACAGGGGAUGGCUUAAAAAGAGAGAAUCAUAGGCCCACAGAGAGACAAGAGAAGUAGAGAAUAAGUGGAGGAGAAACUCCAUGUGGGAUACUCCCUGGAGACGUAGGGGUUACCCCCAAGAACCAAGGGUCCUCGUCCUUUGUAAUGGUAAGAGGAGACAAGUCCUAGUUGACUCCAUGACAUGCUACCUUUAUAGGAAAACAGUAAAGCCAAUUAUCUUCCUACACUGUUUUCCCAGAACGUAAGGAGAGACACACUCUCCAGGGCUGUCCCACCCAGUGUCUGUUUGAGGGGCUCAUGUCCAGGACUUUGGGGCCAUGGUAUAAUGUCUGGAUGUUCCUGAACCCAACCUACUUGAGGCCUGGGCAACUGUCCAACCUCCAUAGAUCCUACUAUGUCCUCCUCAUUGCUACACUGUCAGCCAAGCCAUGCCAACAGGUAAAGGAAGAUCCUACUAUGAGCUUCCCAGAGUGUGAAGGACCCUGUGGAGGCAGAAGUAACAUCAGUGUAAGAGUCUCUGUGAAAGCUGAGCCAUUUCUCAGUUCUGGGACUUACAGGACGACCACAUUUCCCAGCCUCCUUGGCAGUUGUAUUGGGUCAUGUGACUGAGUUCUGAGUUCUGGCCAAUGGGAUCUGAAUAGGAGUGAUCUGAUGGUGUGAGAUAGACAUUAUGAUGCCUGAUGUUCUGGGUGGAGUGUCUGACUUAUGCAAUUUUUUUUUUAAUUUACAUCAAAUUAGCAUAUAGUGCAACAAUGAUUUCAGGAGUAGAUUCCUUAAUGCCCCUUCCCAUUUAGCCCAUCCCCCCUCCCACACCCCCUUCAGUAACCCUCUGUUUGUUCUCCAUAUUUAUGAGUCUCUUCUGUUUUGUCCCCCUCCCUGUUUUUAUAUUAUUUUUAUUGUCUUUCCCUUAUGCCUGUUUUGUCUUUUAAAGUCCUCACAUGAGUGAAGUCAUGUAUUUGUCUUUCUCUGACUUAUGCAAUUUUAUGCAAGCUCACUAGGUGGUUCUUUUACCAAUGCUUCCUUUAGAGAUAUCAGGGAGGAUGGGCUGUGGAAAAUAAUGAGUCUACUGGAGCAAGAUGGACAUUUCAUGGCAGCUUUCUUAAGAGCAUAUAAGGUACUUGUGGUAAAUUUUUACAAUAAUGGUCCCAGAUGAAUUCCUCCUCUGGUAUCCAUGCCCUCAUGUGGUUCCCUUUCACAUGAUGGCCAUGUGACUUGUGGUGGCCAAUGCAAUGUCAGCAAUCAUGAUGUCAUCAGAAGCUUGUUCCAGGCUUGUGCUUGCUCUCAUGGAACACAGCCUUCCCAGAUGUCCCUGCUGAGCACAAUCCACAACCAAGCCACCAGCUAAGUGAAGCUGCGUAAGUGAGCCCAAGUGAAACUAGUCAAAGAACCACCUGGCCAACCCACAGAAUUGUGGCACUUAAACUGUUGUUUUAAAUUAAUGAGUUCUGUGGCAACAGAUAACCAAUAAAACAACUUAUUCAUGCCUGUUUCCCCAGAACCUACUAUAUUGCCUGGCAUAUUUCUGCCCUCAAGGCAUUCUUAUGGACAUAAGCUUUAUCUUCCCAGCAACAACCCUGUCAGCGGAACUCUUCUAGAUUAAAUGUGGGCCUGCUGUGACUUCACCUCCAGCCCUGUUUGGGACUCCACCAUCAAAGCAUCUCUGAACAGCUUGCUUUCUGCAAUAGUUGAAGAACGAGUAGCGUGUGGAUGGCUGAGAGGUGGAUAAGUGGGGGAUCGAAUCAAGCCCAGAUGUCAGUCAGUCUCCCCCCGACCCAAGCUGAGGGCUGGGACAGAACUCAGGGGAAGAGUCUCCAGUCGGGGGGUGGUUCCCGGGAGCUGAACAUAAACAGCCCCGGUGCUGACUGCCCACCAGGCAUGGCUGCACUUGUGUCCGCCCCACUGCAGGAGUGUCUGCAGAGGCAGCUGGAGCCCAAAGUGGUCUUUUGUCUCCCCUCUCUCUGAAGUCAUCCCAGGACACAGGUGUGCAUCCCCCCCCCCAGCCAGCCGACAGAGAAGAUGAAUCAGCUUCCCUGAAAGACGUGCCCCAGAGCAGUCUGUCAGCUGAAACUUGUCUGAAGGAGCACGCUUCCCUCCUGACCACAGCUAAUGAAAAUGUGUGGCUUGCCCGGGGAAGAAUCUAUGCUAUUCUUUAAAGGAACAAUGCGAACCACAGAUGUGCAGCAUCUGGCAUACGAUAGGGAUUUCCCUGAAUGAGAACGGUAACUGGACCAGCCAGCUUAUGAGAUGCCUUUGGGUCCAGGCAUGUAUUUUCCUCCUUUUGGCUCUGGAUUUGGGUUCUCAGAAGUUCAGGUGAAGCCCAAGUCACUAUCACUUAGUGUUUUUCAUUAUAUGCGCCCCCCUCCUCAUUUAUCUUCUAUGGUCUUAAUGAAUAUGCUUGAGAUGCUCCCAAACCUAUAUCCCUGCCUCUAAGUCUUUGCUCAUGUCAUUCUCCAUUUCUGUACAGCCUCCCCUUUUUUUAUGACCAUCUAAUUUGUCAGGACUCUUUCCAUGGAGGUUAAGUGAAGCCCAAUCCAACUUGCUUGAAGCAAAAAACUACAUUUAUUGAAUAACGUAACUUAAAAUCCAGGACCACUUGACUUCAAAGAUAGGUACACCUGGAUCUAGGCGUUCAAAUGAGUUUUCCAGGACCUGGUCUUAGUCUAUUUCUUCAGGUCUAGACUCUGUCUUUUACAUUGGCCCGAGUUUCAGGUAGGCACUGAAUGGGCUCCAGUCUUGCAUGUUACCAUGUUAACUCCCGCGUGGAAAAAGUGAUCCUGGGGAUAGGCCUGAUUGGACCACUUGGGACACAUUCAUGUUUGCCUAUGAAGUAAUCACUGUAAUCGGGGCGAUGGGAUUCCUGUUAUUGUCCAGGCCUGUGUCCCUUGCUCAGCCCUAAGGCUAGGGAGUUUGGUCUUCUCCCAGAGGAAAUCAGGAUCCUAUCAUAAGAAUAAGGUUGAAUGGAUGUAGGACAAGUAACAUCAGUAGACACACAACCCACAGCUUGCUUUUCAAGCUCAAGUUCAUCCCAGGCCACAUUCCCCUCUCUUGCCCCUGCAACACUUUUACAGUUGAAUAUGGGAUUGUAUAUGCCUCCCAGCUUCUCCCGCUGGGACUAGAGGGCAUUCCUGGUAAUAGAAGACGUGGGGUGGGGCGUGGGUAGUACAUGGGGGGCAGGAAUCACAUUGUGUUUCCUUUCCUUGUUUGAAACCCUGUGAAAUCAAGUGGAGACGAGGCAGCUUUGAAUCGGGGAAAUAGUUACAGCAGUUAUUAGUUUGGAGCAGGGAAGAAACGGGCCUUAGUGACAAGGACGGGGGCCAGUUCUACCUGUAUGUAUGAGUGCUUCUCCAUCUCAGGCCCCCCAGUGGCUGCCUCCAGGUUCAGAUGGGAUGCCAAGAUUUGCUGUGAUUUGGGGCCGGCCGAACACUUGUUGAGUCUGUGUGAAUCAUUGAGCUUUUGCCGGUCCGUGCCGUAUGCCUUCUAUUUUUCUUAUACCACCCUGUGUAUCUAGUACUUUGGUGAGCACCUAACAAUUACCCGACGGGUUUUAUUGUGGAAUUGCGAUGUAGGUGCCAGUGCUCAAGCCUGGAAAUCAAAAGGUGUGGGUUGUAAUCAAGUCUCUUGACUUUUGCCGAGCUAAGUAACCAUACCAAGAGAGCACAGAGCAGGAUAACAGCUAUUUUUGUCUAGUGCUUCUGGUUCCCAAUACUUACAUUGCUGGCUCACUUACAAUGACCCUGUGAGAUAAUCCAAAUGCUAUGGGGUAAGCUUCAAGGUUAAGUCUAAGGCAAAAACUGGGUGUAAUCAACAUUUCCCUGGAAACUCCUAUAAAUCAUCUGUAAAGUACAGUUUAAAAGGUUUUGUGAUUGUGACCAAAUACAGGAAUACUUGUGAAUUAUGUGGAAUGGAUAAACUAACAUAUUGCCUAUUAUUUAGGGAGAGAACAUUUCCCAAAGUGCAAUAUCAAAAGACAGCCAUUUAUGCAUCUAAUGCAGCAAGUUUUUCACAACCAGAAAGGGAGAGAAGCAUAGUUUCACAUCUUUGUUUUUAAGAUCAUCCUGGGACACGUGUGCAUUCAGUGGAUUAUCAAAUAGAAUCUUCUGGGCUAUUUAAAUAAUUGUUUUUAUUUCCUUCUCUUUGUGUGAUGCAUUUCCCCAAUCUUAUUUGGUGAAACAUGUUGAUUAUAUAUUUAGAAAGUGUUAGGCAUUGGGCUGGGCCCAGGGAAGUCAAUGGUGAAUAAAAUAGGCAUGGUUUCUGGCCUAAUGGAGUUUAUAGCCUUUGCAGAUUGCUUCACACACAAAGAAACUGAAGCUCAGAGAGGUGACUGCCAAAGAUUUCUCGGGCCAGUAAGGAGCAGGGCUGGGAUCUGAACCCAGGUCUUCUGGCUUUAACCCUAAGUUUUUCCCAACUACUCCCCACUGGCUUCCAUGGUAACUGAAGUCACUCUCAAAGCCAAAGUCAGAGUCCUGGAGUUCAUUACAGCAGAAACAGACCAUUGCAACUGGCCACUUGCCUUGGCAGUUGGGACCUGGAAUUGAGUUCAUAUUUGGUGUUGAAUCGUACCCUCCAGAAACGGGAUGGGUUGGAAUGGAAUGGUAAUGAGGGCUCUGUUUGCUCCAGAGGGCCCACUCCCUAUUCUGCCCACCAGCCAUCAUGGUUGACCACCCUGUUUAAGCCCCCUAUUGAUUACAGAGGGUUGAUUUCUUCUGAUGCAAGUGGCUAAGCCAAGGGCAGUUACAGCUGCGCCAUAGCCCCCCAAAUUACUGCCUUCCGGACAAAAUAUGUCAGGCAGCCUUCCCAAGAGCCCUUUCCAAGGACAAGGAGGCUGGUCCUGGACUUGCGUCUCCCUUGUUUGGUAUCCAGUGCGUGUAUGUUCCUUCUCCACGUGUACCCCAAAUGUCCUGAGAACCAAGGUGCCCCCUCUCCCAGAGUCCCAGCACCCCCCCCAACCCCCACAUCCCCAUGAGCCUCUCAGGCCCCAUCCAAGGAGAAGCCUUGAGGAUGCUACCAAUGGGACCCAUCGAAGGGCUGUGGUUUGCCCUGGCUCUCAGUUUGCUGACCCAGCCCCCCACCGGGGUUGUGGCGCCAGACCUGGGGCUCCUUCUCAACUGGAGCAACCAUUUGGGUGAGUUAAAGAGCAACCUUCACACUGAAGACGGUGAUGACUCGGCUCCCAUUCCCUCAGCCAGGGCACAUUUGCCUCUUCAACUCCGUUUCAUUGAGGGGAUGUCUACAGCGAGCACAGCCUCAGGUUAGAAUUAAUUCUUUUCUAUUGCUCCUGUCAGAAAGAUAAAAAUAAAGCAUUUAGCUCAAGGAAAGUUGGCUUCUCACACAGACUUGUGUGUGUAGUCUUUGGAGAAAUGUCACUAAUGGUGUUUUAAUGAUGCUUUAUGGGCCUAGAGACCAAUAAGAAGAAGAAGUUACUAUUUACCAAAGCGACUGCUAGCCCCUUAAUGACGGGCUAAGUAUCAGCUAUUGGCAGGAUAUGGAGUGGGUAAGUGCUGUGUAAUUACCAAGCAAAUUCAUCAUUAUUUCUGUCUUAUAAACCAGAAUAUGUGUUAAAUAAUACUUUGGGGCCACUGAAAGUAGUUACCAAGCCCCAUCUCUGUAAGAACAUGUCAUUAUCCUACAGUUGCCCUGUGUUUACUAAGCAAAUCUAUGCAAUUAUUAUCUAAAGCCCAAACCCUGCCCUCACAGCCACAAAAGUGCACCCGAGGGCAGGUCUGUGCCCAGAGGAGGAGCGGCAUGUGCACGGGGUCAUGCAGGAUUGGGGCCUCCACUUCCCAAAUUCCGGCUCUGCUCUCAUUCCUGCCCUGGGAAAAAGCCACAAGCAAGGCCUUAUGAAACACGUUGUUGUGUCUUCCCUUCUUCCCCACCCCACCCCAGCCCAGGCCCUGCUCUGGCCUCCCUGCUCUUCUGACCCGCCAGUCCCUACCGCGGGGGCCUGCUGGGACCUCAGCAUCUGGCUGCAGAGGGUUCAGUCCACCAGUUCCAGGCAGCUCUUUCGAAGGCUCACCUCAUGUCAGGAAUAGUGCUGGACUCCGAGGACAUGAAGAUCAACACGAGGAAACUGAGACUUGGGAAGCGAAGCAACCCACGCGAGCCCCUCCCGCUAUCAGGUGGCAAAGUGAGGGUUCAUCCUGAGAUGGUCCUCUGGCCCCGGGUCUCCCAGCCUCGUGCAUCUGCAAAUGGUAG